AAAUUUAGGUUAACUACCAAACCAGGGACCUUCAAAGCCCCAAAUAGGGCCCCAAACCCUAAUUUCUG
rnacentral:tRNA from 1 species